AUGGAGGUCUUGGAGUUAGGCACUGCCUAUUUGGAAAGGCAGAAGAGCUGGGCAGCAGGACUCCCCGCCACACUUGUGCCUUUGGCGAGUGCCUCACCAUGGCCUGCACGUUGGGGUGAGCAGACCUCCCAUGUAGGGCCAUUUUGUGCCACUGGGAUCCACAGUGCUGAAGCAGCCCGGGGGCGGGAGAGCGCCAGCGUUUCUGCUUCCUGCAUCCUGGGGAUCGCAGCUGUGAAGCAGAGCAGGGCGCGCUUUCCGAUGCAUCUCAAAUAUAGUCCUGAAUGCAGCUUCUGUCAUGAAGAGAUAUUUCCUAAACAGACUCCAUACCCCCACUUUCCAUCUGAUAAUCAUCUCCUUGUGCUUGUGAGACAUGCGCUUUACUUAAAAGACAGCAGCUCCCAUACCAGCUCUCUGUGCUAUCUACUGAGGACAGCAUAUGCUUAUCUCCCCGAUUUAGCAAGGAAGGAAGGAGAAACAUGAUGCAGAACUAUCCGUUUCCGGCUGGUGGGGGAGGCAAGGGCAGAGUCCCUGCACACCAGUGACCCCAUGCACCAUGAGAAAACAUCAGUGGGCAUUGCCCUUGAGCUACAAGGUGCUUGGGGCAGACUCAGAUGUCUUCUCUGUAGACAGCACCUUGCUGUAGUCCUGCAGUUUCUGCUGUAGGAUGGGGUAUGGCACACUGUUUUUUGGGCAUGCUUUUCAGAAUGCAAAAGAAACUGAAAAAACACUCUCCAGAUACACAACCAGUUCAUCCAGCUUUGGUUCUGCCAGCACAGCCACCCUGGGUGGCCACGUGCUGGGCCUCUCCUUGCUUUCCUUCUAUAACUGACCCUCUGGGAAGCCUGAGGAGCCAAAUACACUGAGGAAUGGUGAUGGGGAAAAAACUAAUCUCCAGGGAGUUUGUAAGAGGACAACAGUGGUGUUUUCUUACCUCUUCCUCUCAAAUACACUUUUCCUGUCACUCUUGAAAACUGACUGAGUCUGUGAGACUUAUCCUGUCCUUUGCUGUGAAAACAAAGAGGAGAAGGGAGGCUCGAAGUUGGGAGAAAGUGGAGUCAAAAUACAAGGAGAACAGGAAGAGUGUAACAGAAAGAGGGUAAAAAAAGGAAAGAAAGGUAAGAAAUGAUCCAGGAGCUUAGGGCAAGGUGUGUGGAAGAACAGAAGGGAUGGGAGAAAGGACAAGAAAGAGAAUGCGGAAAAUGACAGAUACAAUAACAAAAACAGAAGGAGGUGUAAGCCAUUUUGAAGGCAGUCAUUGAGUGUUUUGAAAGGGUGUGAGUGGGAAAGUGGAAAUGUGAGAAAGGGACAGAGCACAAUGAGUUGCACUACGUUCCUGUGCAGAGAAUGGAAAGCCAAGUGCUAAUGCACACCCAAACAACAAGGGGAACCCUGGCCUUGCAGGAGCAAAGGGGAUGUUGGUGCCAUGGGACAGAAUUUCAUCUUGUGCUAAAGGCACAGAUGGGCCAUGUGAUAAGCUUUG
rnacentral:lncRNA from 1 species